GGCUAUAUCACGUUGAAUACAUCACGUACGAUCACCGAAGUUAAACAACGCUGAGCCUAGUUCCUACCUUGAUGGGUGACCACUUCGGAAUACCAGUUGUUGUAAG